rnacentral:rRNA from 1 species
CACGUAGGCACCAAGCGUUGUCCGGAUUUAUUGGGCGUAAAGAGCUUGUAGGCGGUUUGUCGCGUCUGCUGUGAAAUUUCGGGGCUCAACCCCGAACUUGCAGUGGGUACGGGCAGACUAGAGUGUGGUAGGGGAGACUGGAAUUCCUGGUGUAGCGGUGAAAUGCGCAGAUAUCAGGAGGAACACCGGUGGCGAAGGCGGGUCUCUGGGCCGUAACUGACGCUGAGGAGCGAAAGCAUGGGGAGCGAACAGG